GAUGAACGCUGGCGGCGUGCCUAAUACAUGCAAGUCGAGCGAACAGACGAGGAGCUUGCUCCUCUGACGUUAGCGGCGGACGGGUGAGUAACACGUGGAUAACCUACCUAUAAGACUGGGAUAACUUCGGGAAACCGGAGCUAAUACCGGAUAACAUGUUGAACCGCAUGGUUCAACAGUGAAAGACGGUCUUGCUGUCACUUAUAGAUGGAUCCGCGCCGCAUUAGCUAGUUGGUAAGGUAACGGCUUACCAAGGCAACGAUGCGUAGCCGACCUGAGAGGGUGAUCGGCCACACUGGAACUGAGACACGGUCCAGACUCCUACGGGAGGCAGCAGUAGGGAAUCUUCCUCAAUGGGCGAAAGCCUGACGGAGCAACGCCGCGUGAGUGAAGAAGGUCUUCGGAUCGUAAAACUCUGUUAUUAGGGAAGAACAAAUGUGUAAGUAACUAUGCACGUCCUGACGGUACCUAAUCAGAAAGCCACGGCUAACUACGUG
rnacentral:rRNA from 1 species